AACGAACGCUGGCGGCAUGCCUAACACAUGCAAGUCGAACGAGACCUUCGGGUCUAGUGGCGCACGGGUGCGUAACGCGUGGGAAUCUGCCCUUGGGUUCGGAAUAACAGCGAGAAAUUGCUGCUAAUACCGGAUGAUGACGUAAGUCCAAAGAUUUAUCGCCCAAGGAUGAGCCCGCGUAGGAUUAGCUAGUUGGUGAGGUAAAAGGCUCACCAAGGCGACGAUCCUUAGCUGGUCUGAGAGGAUGAUCAGCCACACUGGGACUGAGACACGGCCCAGACUCCUACGGGAGGCAGCAGUGGGGAAUAUUGGACAAUGGGCGAAAGCCUGAUCCAGCAAUGCCGCGUGAGUGAUGAAGGCCUUAGGGUUGUAAAGCUCUUUACCCGGGAUGAUAAUGACAGUACCGGGAGAAUAAGCUCCGGCUAACUCCGUGCCAGCAG
rnacentral:rRNA from 1 species